rnacentral:rRNA from 1 species
AUGAACGCUGGCGGCGUGCCUAAUACAUGCACGUCGCGCGAACGGACGAGAAGCUUGCUUCUCUGAUGUUAUCGGCGGACGGGUGAGUAACACGUGGAUAACCUACCUAUAAGACUGGGAUAACUUCGGGAAACCGGAGCUAAUACCGGAUAAUAUUUUGAACCGCAUGGUUCAAAAGUGAAAGACGGUCUUGCUGUCACUUAUAGAUGGAUCCGCGCUGCAUUAGCUAGUUGGUAAGGUAACGGCUUACCAAGGCAACGAUGCAUAGCCGACCUGAGAGGGUGAUCGGCCACACUGGAACUGAGACACGGUCCAGACUCCUACGGGAGGCAGCAGUAGGGAAUCUUCCGCAAUGGGCGAAAGCCUGACGGAGCAACGCCGCGUGAGUGAUGAAGGUCUUCGGAUCGUAAAACUCUGUUAUUAGGGAAGAACAUAUGUGUAAGUAACUGUGCACAUCUUGACGGUACCUAAUCAGAAAGCCACGGCUAACUACGUG